UCUUAACAGAGGUGAAAGUCUGUCUAGAUGUUCUCAAUGUAAGACGGCCCGGUACUGCAGUGUUCAGUGUCAGAAGCAAGCAUGGCCCGAUCACAAGAGGGAAUGCAAAUGCCUCAAGCAUCUCCAGCCAAGGAUCCCUACCGACUCCGUCCGCCUGCUUACGAGGACCAUCUUCAAACUGCUCAGCCAAUCAGAAAGUGACCAAGAGGAGCUUUACUCGAUAGCUGAACACCAGUCACGUAAGUUUAUGUUUGAUUGUAUUGCAGUGCACUGACACAAGGCAAACGUCUGUUGCUAUAUUGUAUUUUUCAUGACUGGAAUGCUGUUCUGACCAAUUAGCAUCCAGGUCUGGAUUUGAUUUAUAAAACCAUAUAC